CGAACGCUGGCGGCAGGCUUAACACAUGCAAGUCGAGCGCAUCCUUCGGGGUGAGCGGCGGACGGGUGAGUAACGCGUGGGAACGUGCCCUCUUCUACGGAAUAGCCUCGGUAAACUGAGAGUAAUGCCGUAUACGCCCGCAAGGGGAAAGAUUUAUCGGAGGAGGAUCGGCCCGCGUUGGAUUAGGUAGUUGGUGGGGUAACGGCCUACCAAGCCGACGAUCCAUAGCUGGUUUGAGAGGAUGAUCAGCCACACUGGGACUGAGACACGGCCCAGACUCCUACGGGAGGCAGCAGUGGGGAAUCUUGGACAAUGGGGGCAACCCUGAUCCAGCCAUGCCGCGUGAUCGAUGAAGGCCUUAGGGUUGUAAAGAUCUUUCAGCUGGGAAGAUAAUGACGGUACCAGCAGAAGAAGCCCCGGCUAACUCCGUG
rnacentral:rRNA from 1 species